CUGCUGGGCUGGACAGGGUGGGUGAAAGGGGUGAUAUUAGAUGGAGAUAGGGUGCUGGUCUGGGGUGGUGCCAACUGCUGGACCAAAGCCACACUGCUCAUAGGAUAUGAUUUACAAAAUUGCAGUUCACAACGAAACAAAAUGUGACCCUUUAUCUCAAAAUUCACUUCAGGUGCCUUUGUUUCUAUCUUUAAUUCUCAGGAUGGCUUCCUUGCCAACUUUUGUUGCUUUUACCUCUGUGGCCCUGGGUUUGCCUGGUCUAUCCCACCUGCAGCUUCCGAGAUAGUACACCGAAAAUGAGAGUGAAACCAUUAGGUUUCAACACCACCGUGUCCUUAUGCAAGGGCUUUUGAAGGAUCGAACUCUGGACCUUGAGCUUGCAAGGCAGGUGCUGGAACCACUGAGCUAAAUCCCCGGCCAUCAACAAUAAUCUCCUUACUUUAUUUUUAUUGAUUGAUCAAUUGUGGUACUGGGGAUUACACUCAGGGACUUUCUACCUCUGGGCUACAUCCCCAGCCCUUUUUAUUUUUUGAGACAGAUGGGACUUGAAUUUGCAUUCAUGCACCAUUGUGCAUGGUUUCCUUGUGCUUUCAAUAUAAACCCUAGUGUAACACACCUUUCCAGCCAUUUCUGCCUGUCCUUACCACUGUCAUAGUAAUACAUGCGAGCAUGCCACAUCCUACCCUCAGAUACAGCUUUCCAAGGUAGGAAGGCACCUUUCUGCCUGGGUUAGCACAACUCCUUUGUACACUGGUGCAAAGUUAAUUGUUAACCAAUAGGCUAAGUCCACAUACACCAGAGGCCUCAUUUGAAAGAAGAGUCUUCUUGUAAAUGAACUGCUUACACUGUCUAAAUUCAAUUAUCAAGUGAGAAAAUGUAACAGAGCUCUUUGGGAGGGCACACAUUACUAAAGGUCUCUAUGGCCGCUAGAAGUUGACAUUUAAGUUUAAUCAGAGCUAACACCUCCUAAGUGACUGGAUUGUGUUUUCUUUCACACUAACACGUCACAAUGUCAGAC
rnacentral:lncRNA from 1 species